UACCCAUAUUUUUUUUGCAUUACUCUCUGGCUAAGUUGUUAAGAUUUAAUUAUAUUUUCUAUAAUAUCCUUUAUGCUUUUAAGCCCAAUUUAGUAAGUCCUUCGUGAUUGAAGUCUAAUUUCCUCAUCUCAAAUUAGGUUUUUUGCCCAUACAAAACUGAGGCUAGAUGAUACAUGGGCAAACUAUUAUAUAAUUUCUUCCAAUACUUCCACACGCAUAACUUUUUUUUGUUAAAAUUCAUACUAUCUGUAUGUAAACUAAGACAAAUAUAAACUGUAAAUAUUAUCAUUGUUCAUCUUUUAAACAGAAAUAUUUCCAUUCAAUUCCAAAACUAAUGCUUAAUCAAUGUCUGUAUAUAUUUUUUAUGGAUCCUG
rnacentral:lncRNA from 1 species